UAUGACUUAACCCUAAUCCUCCCAUAUAAAUCCAAGCCGUCUCUAACAUAUUUCCACUUUCCACAAUCUCAUUUCACUCUCAAACACACCUAAAAUCAUCAAGAACUUCUCUAUUUUGGGCAUAAAGUUCAAGUGCUCUAAGGUAACUUUAGUGCUCUACCCUCAAUGACUCGUCUGUGACAACUGGCCCAAAACCGGAAACAAGUUGGAUCUUGGGCGCUGGUGUUAUUUUCAAGAAGUAAAUUUCAAGUUUAGAUGUCAUCCACUUUUGUUUUGUACCAUAACUUGAGGGUUUUGGUUGAAACUUAAAUGACUUGUGUUAAUAACAUUUCAAU